GUCUUCAGCCAUGCUACCCUGAACAAGCACGAUCCCGUCUGAUCUCGGAAGCUAAGCAGGUUCGGGCCUGGUUAGUACUUGGAUGGCAGACCACCUAGGAAGACCAGGUGCUGUAGGCA
rfam:Pteropus alecto contig53799, whole genome shotgun sequence.